GAUGAACGCUGGCGGCGUGCCUAAUACAUGCAAGUCGAGCGAACGGACGAGAAGCUUUCUUCUCUGAUGUUAGCGGCGGACGGGUGAGUAACACGUGGGUAACCUACCUAUAAGACUGGGAUAACUUCGGGAAACCGGAUCUAAUACCGGAUAAUAUUUUGAACCGCAUGGUUCAAAAGUGAAAGACGGUCUUGCUGUCACUUAUAGAUGGAUCCGCGCUGCAUUAGCUAGUUGGUAAGGUAACGGCUUACCAAGGCAACGAUGCAUAGCCGACCUGAGAGGGCGAUCGGCCACACUGGAACUGAGACACGGUCCAGACUCCUACGGGAGGCAGCAGUAGGGAAUCUUCCGCAAUGGGCGAAAGCCUGACGGAGCAACGCCGCGUGAGUGAUGAAGGUCUUCGGAUCGUAAAACUCUGUUAUUAGGGAAGAACAUAUGUGUAAGUAACUGUGCACAACUUGACGGUACCUAAUCAGAAAGCCACGGCUAACUACGUG
rnacentral:rRNA from 1 species